GUGGAGAUUUGUAUACUUGG
rnacentral:miRNA from 1 species